AUGGGUGAUGGCGUGCCUUUUGUAGAAUGAACCGGCGAGUUACGAUUUGAUGCAAGGUUAAGCAGUAAAUGUGGAGCCGUAGCGAAAGCGAGUCUGAAUAGGGCGUUUAGUAUUUGGUCGUAGACCCGAAACCAGGUGAUCUACCCUUGGUCAGGUUGAAGUUCAGGUAACACUGAAUGGAGGACCGAACCGACUUACGUUGAAAAGUGAGCGGAUGAACUGAGGGUAGCGGAGAAAUUCCAAUCGAACCUGGAGAUAGCUGGUUCUCUCCGAAAUAGCUUUAGGGCUAGCCUCAAGUGAUGAUUAUUGGAGGUAGAGCACUGUUUGGACGAGGGGCCCCUCUCGGGUUACCGAAUUCAGACAAACUCCGAAUGCCAAUUAAUUUAACUUGGGAGUCAGAACAUGGGUGAUAAGGUCCGUGUUCGAAAGGGAAACAGCCCAGACCACCAGCUAAGGUCCCAAAAUAUAUGUUAAGUGGAAAAGGAUGUGGCGUUGCCCAGACAACUAGGAUGUUGGCUUAGAAGCAGCCAUCAUUUAAAGAGUGCGUAAUAGCUCACUAGUCGAGUGACACUGCGCCGAAAAUGUACCGGGGCUAAACAUAUUACCGAAGCUGUGGAUUGUCCUUUGGACAAUGGUAGGAGAGCGUUCUAAGG
rnacentral:rRNA from 1 species